rnacentral:lncRNA from 1 species
CCCUGUCCUCCAGGUUGACCCCUCUGGCCCCUGUCCUCCAGGUUGAACCCCUCUGCCCCCUGUCCUCCAGGUUGAACCCCUCUGGCCCCUGUCCUCCAGGUUGAACCCCUCUGGCCCUGUCCUCCAGGUUAACCCCUGGCUCCUGUCCUCCACGGUUAAACCCCUCUGUCCUUCAGGUUGACCCCUCUGCCCUCCAGGUUAAACCCCUCUGUCCUUCAGGUUGAACCCCUCUGCACCCUGUCCUCUAGGUUGAACCCCCCUGUCCUCCAGGUUGAACCCUCUG